rnacentral:ncRNA from 1 species
UAUUUAUCAAGAGUACGCGAGAGACUGGCUCCAUGACCGUACAGCAACCUGCAUUUGUAAGGUGCUAAACCCAGAGAGAUAAAGG